UAUUUCAACCGGAUGCCUCGCAUUCGGUUUUUUUUACCCUUCUUUACACACUUUUCAUUAUUCUGUGCUACCACAGAAAAACUAUAACGCUUG
rnacentral:antisense_RNA from 1 species